UUGCUUUGGCAGCACAAAUAUUAAAAUUGGAAUGAUACAGAGAAGAUUAGCAUGGCCCCUGCAAAAGGAUGACAUGCAAAUUCGUAUUAAAAAAAAAAAGAAAUA
rfam:Fukomys damarensis contig105440, whole genome shotgun sequence.